GACGUAGGGCGCGAGCGUUUGUCCGGAUUUAUUGGGCGUAAAGAGCUCGUAGGCGGCUUGUCGCGUCGAAUGUGAAAACUCGGGGCUCAACUCCGAGCUUGCAUUCGAUACGGGCAGGCUAGAGUUCGGUAGGGGAGACUGGAAUUCCUGGUGUAGCGGUGAAAUGCGCAGAUAUCAGGAGGAACACCGGUGGCGAAGGCGGGUCUCUGGGCCGUAACUGACGCUGAGGAGCGAAAAGCGUGGGGGAG
rnacentral:rRNA from 1 species